AUGGUGCUUCAGACCACUCUUGCUGCUCAGACUGAGUUGCUUCAAGGCUGGCAGACACGAAUUGAGAGCUUCUUGGAGCGGGCAGAGGCUGCUUUGAAUAGGCUCUCCCUUGUGUCGACUAUGUUGCAGGCCACGGCACACCUUGGUGUGGCAGUUGUUGAAUCCACAGAGGACCGGGGGGCAGAGCCCUAUGGUUGUUUCUCUCCUCGUGUUCGGGACAAUUCACCAUCGAUGUUUGCUUCUUCCGUUCUGUUGCCUCCCACUGUGGGCGAGUCCAUCGUCGGGCUUGCGACUCCGGUGUUGCAACUCAUGCCCGAGCUUCAGAACAUAUGUUCGAACCUUGCUUCGCCUUUGUCCUUGGAGCGAUUGGAGGUGGACUCAUUGACGACUUUGUGUAAGGAACACGCUUCAUCUCUACCAUGUGAGCAACUAAAGGCGCUGAAGUUGAUUGUGUCGAUGGUUCUUGUGGUGGAGGAUGUUGUGUCGGUGGUUCCUUGGGUCGAUGAUGUUGAUGUUGCCGGUUCAUUGGUGCCUGCUCCUACGAGCCCCUUGGUUGACGACAACGACACCAAGAAAUUCAAUGAGUUUUACGAUUUUCUUGACAAAUUGAUGGCUCAACAGCCGACAUCUUGCAAGACAAGUGACCGUGCAAAGAAGACGCCAAGUAAGGGGAAACCCAAAAAGAAGAAAAACAAGAAGUGUGGCGCCAUCCGAAAGGCGUAUGUGGUUUCAUGA
rnacentral:rRNA from 1 species